rnacentral:rRNA from 1 species
GAUGAACGCUGGCGGCGUGCUUAACACAUGCAAGUCGAACGGAAAGGCUCCUGCUUGCCGGGGUACUCGAGUGGCGAACGGGUGUGUAACACGUGGGUGUUCUGCCCUGCACUUCGGGAUAAGCCUGGGAAACUGGUUCUAAUACCGGAUAGGACGAUGGUUUGGAUGCCAUUCUGGAAAGUUUUUUCGGUGUGGGAUGAGCUCGCGGCCUAUCAGCUUGUUGGUGGGGUAAUGGCCUACCAAGGCCUCGACGGGUAGCCGGCCUGAGAAGGUGUACGGCGACAAUGCUGCUACGGUAGGGACCAGAGGGCAACGUGAGGAAACAGGGGAAAAUAUUGCACAAUGGGGGCACGUGUGUGGAGAAGGGGUUGCGGGGGGGAAGACGGGUUUUGGGGUGUGAACUCCUUUGGCUAAAGACGUAGCGGACGUGACGGUACCUGGAGAAGAAGCACCGGCUAACUACGUG